UACGUAGGGGGCUAGCGUUGUCCGGAAUCAUUGGGCGUAAAGAGCGUGUAGGCGGCCCGGUAAGUCCGCUGUGAAAGUCCAGGGCUCAACCCUGGGAUGCCGGUGGAUACUGUCGGGCUCGAGUCCGGAAGAGGCGAGUGGAAUUCCUGGUGUAGCGGUGAAAUGCGCAGAUAUCAGGAGGAACACCAAUGGCGAAGGCAGCUCGCUGGAACGGUACUGACGCUGAGGCGCGAAAGCGUGGGGAGCGAACAGG
rnacentral:rRNA from 1 species